UCUUUCUCUAAUACAAUACUCUUGACCACAUUGUUUGGAUUGAUAGUUUAUUCAUGUCUACUAUCCAAUGUGAUACAUGUGCUUAUAUGAUUACCUUGAAUGAGAUUUGGAACGACUUCCUAAAUCUCAUUCAUACUCUGGCCAGAGAUUCUUAAUCAUAUCAUAGAGUAUUCUCCCCCAAACGGUUUGAAGGUUAGAAAUCCUUUGUUGCGCAUUCACUCGCCUCCAUGGCUAAGUGGCUUAACCCCAACUAUGCCGUGGACACCCUCGAAUGGAGUGACUUUAACACAAUCAAAGAUCAAGGACUUAACCACAAGACAACUAUGAUGCCUCAGGUCAAAGGACUACUUUGCAUUAUCCCAACCAUGAGUUCUCAUGUGACAUGAGUAUGAGAACUCCUCGUUGAUCGUGUUCAGUGGACUCAUUCGCUAUUGAGCACCUACAUGCUUGUGUUGGUGUCAAUCACACCAAUGACUCGAGACUAGUCACUCUCACUAAGAGAAGACAUAGCAUGUACUGAUCUUAACGGACUGUCAAUGCCCAAUUAGCAAUCCUAUGAUCAGGAACGUUUAGGAUAUGUAUACGAAAGAGAAUGGUCUCAUUAAUCUAACUUGUUUAAAUCACAUUCUCCUAAUUACAUAUUCCUUGGACUUAUCGUUUAAGCAUAUAACAUUUAUAUGAGACGGCUUAAAACAAUAAUCUUUGCCCUUGAUAUUAAACUAGAUUAGUUUAACAUGUGAAAUGUCCGUAAAGUAUCAUCAUAUGAUUGGUUUUAGGGCACAUUUCCAACAAUCUCCCACUUGCACUAGAGCCAAUCAGCUUGGUUAUCAGUGAUGAUACCUCUUCUGUAGUCAUUUCAAAAAUGGCUGAGUAGUAGGCCUAGGCAAUGGAUAUCUAUAUGUUAUCCAUAGAAGCAACCUUGAGAAUAACGACGUCACCAUUAGACAUGAUUCUCAAUCAUGUGGUUCAGUCUCUCAUAUGAGUUCAGAGCUUGAUGAGACCUUGAUUCCCUGGCUUGAGCUAUCGCCCCAUUAGUGUCGUAGUGUCGAUACAAUAGAGACACUUUCUGGUUGGAACCGAAUAGAGAGUUCAUAAAUGAACUUUCCCAUCCAAACAACAUUGUUGUAAGCUUUUAUAUGGCAAUAUAUUUGCAUUCAUAAUGGAACACACUAAAGUCAUUACUUUUAAUGUUUCCAUCCAAAUAUCUCUUUAGUCAUAAUAAAGAGAUAUAUGUUUAUCUCUUCAUUCAUAAUGAAGAAACAUCCAAUGAUGGAUUAGAUUCAUAAUCUAAUACAUUUACGCUUCCAUUACGUUACUCUAAUUCUUCCUCAUUCUUUGAGGAAUCUAUCCUUUAGUAUUUCUUAAAUACUUAAGGACUCACUUGACAGUUGCCGUGGUUCUGAUCCUGGGCUUGCACUGAUAUCGUCUUGUACCUUUCUAGGUACAACUCAUAUCAAUGUUUUUCAUACAAUAUGAAAUACAUAAAUCACCUCUCUGCGUAUGCAUAAAGGAUUCUAUUUACGCAUUAUUUCUUUGGGAGUCAAAGAGUACGUUCUCUUUGAGAAGAGCAACUUCUUAGUCUCAUUAGAGUUGUCCUUCUAAUUGAAGUUUAUCAUCAUAUGAGAAACUUCCUAGCAUCUAUUGUCUAUUAUUAGGGAUUGAUAUAAUCCAAUUAUAUCAUGAAAUAUAUCAUUAUAGAUUUCCAUCCCAUGUAUAUAGACUAUAUCUCCCAUAUACAUUCUAUCUUCAUAUAAUGUUUUAAAGUCAUAACUUUAACGAAGAAGAAUUCUUUUCAUUUCCAAAAUUAAUAUAUCAAAUAUAUAUUUAAAUUUUAGGAACAUGAUUAACUCCCACUAAUCUUUUGUAAACCUAGUAAACAAAAGAUUCAUUUACAUCUUUAUGAGAAAUCAAACGAUUUGAUCCUUUUUCUCAUAAGAUGCUCAUAGCUCCCACUAGCUUGCUUAGAUUCAUGAUGGAUGGAUCUCUACAACUUACAUGUCUUGUGAUUCAUAGUUUUAGACAUAUAUUAUUAAGACUAUCUUAAUAAUGGUUUCGGAAACCCAUAUUAUGUCCAAACAUUGAAUCACCAUUUAGUUGUAGCUAGCUAUCUUCGAAUUAAUUGAAACCAAGACUACAUCAAAGAUGGUUUCUUCAAAGUCAACCAUUCUUUUUUAUUGUAGUUACCUUAAGCUACCAAUCAGCUUAUGAAGGUUUCAUUAUUUCGGGUCAAAUGGUACUUUAUCAUUUCCUUGAGUAUAUAUCGUAUAUACACUCAAUGUAGUCAUAAGGAUUUUCAUUCUUAUUUCUUUCGAAUUAAGAGGUGUAACUCUAUGACAUAGUCAUAAAGUUCAAACCAUUCAACUGAGACGGUUUAUAAAUCCUUCUCGACUACCUUGGAGCUUGUGGUAUAGGAACUAGGUUGUUAUAUUUGUUGAUCACUAUCUUGUUUCUUAAAGAACCAUUCUUUGAGUUCUAUCCCUCGUUCAUUUGCUCUAUCUUGGGCAAAUCCUAGUGUAGGAUUACAAUGAACUACCCAACAAACAACAUUUGUUAGUUGGUUUAUAGAAGUGAUAUCCAAAUGUUAAUUUAAGGAUACCCACAAGAUAAUUCUUAAACAAAUAUUGCUUAUUAGCACACAACUCCAAAUCUUAACAUGAUUAAGUUUUGUCUUUCUUUCCAACUACAUCCUAUGGAGUCAUGAAAAUUUUGGAAGAUCUUCUAAUUGACAAUCAUAUUGUCUUAGAAGUAUAUAUCCUAUAUAUGGGUAAUUGAUAAUAUCCAACGAACUAAAUUUUAUUUAAGUUCAUUCUUCUCCUUAUGGAGAAAUCUAUUAUCUUAUGAUGCUUAUUUCCUUGAUAUCUUUCAAGGAAACUGUUCUAAAGUGUUACCUUAUCUUGGAUCAAAUCUAAGGAGGUAAAUACUUUAGACGUCUUACUCAUCAACUUACAUUACUUGAAUUCUUUGAAACAUUUUGCAAAGUAUUCGGACUUGUGUUUAUUCAAAAUAAACUAUAGUCCAACCGAGAGUGAUCUUCGGUGAAUGUCAUACAACAUGAGUAGUAUUAUGUUGUGGACAAGUGCCACUAACAUCUAAGUGAAUUAACCUCAACAACUUUGUGAUUCUUUCUUCUUUCCAAAAGAAUAAAGAUUCGAACAUUUCGCCUCUAUACAAUUUUAAUAAGAAGGUAUUGGAUCUGGAUCUAACGAUCCAAAGCAUCCAUCUAUGACCAACUCGUAUUUUAUGUUUUUGAGGUAUCACAACUCAGUUGGGAUUAGUCACUACCUUGCAACCUUUUGGGUUUUAAGCAUCGUUAUAAUUCUAAACAGUUAACACUACCAUAUCAUCUCUACUAUAGAGACAAUUAAUUAGAUUACUAUAAUCCAAUCAUUGACUAAUAAAGAACAAUGUUUUGUCAAACAAAACAUUCAUCCAUCUCUACUAUAGUGACGGAAAUAAGUUCCUUAAAAUUGGAAAGUAAAGACAAUCUUUGGUUUUUCCAAUUUCUUUGGUAGUUCAUAUGAGGAAGUAAGUACUAUCUGCUUUCGCAGAGAUCUUUAUUUUAUUCACGUUCCGAAUGUGAAGCACCUUUUUCUUCUCUCAUAUAUCUUCUACUUCUUAUUAGUCACACUUUUACAACGAUUGUAAAACAUAGUUACUAAUACGGAAUCAAGCAUUCAAGUAGAAGAACCAACUGUUUUGAACUAUUCAAGAACAAUUUACAACACCUUCGAAAGGUGUGUUCUUGACACUUGCAAGACAUUUCUUGCAAAUACCCCUUCCAAUGUCCAUCCUUUCAUAAAGAAAGUUUGUUCCCUUGGAGUUAAUUUUAUCUUCUUCAUUUGACUUCUCCUUUGACUACAAUAGUCAUGGUCCCUAAACUCCCACUAUCUCUCUUGAAACUUAUUUCAAUGGUGUUAUACACAUCAAACAUUUUGGAGAGCAUGUGUUUAUUGUUCACUACAUAGUUUACAAUAAACUUAGUGAACCAUUAGGAUAGGGACAUAAAGGUGAAGUCCUAGCCUAUUUUUCCGUCUCUAGAAGUGGUUUAACACUUCAACACUCAAUGAUUCAAAAUCAUCAUAAGUCCAUGUUGAUGGACUAUUUUUGUCAACCAACCAUUAUGUUCUAAACAUAAUUACAAACUUUCAAGAGUUGUUCAAGGCAACUCUCAUUUCUUCAUACAACAAUUUGUAAGUGAAGAAUCAUGGCACAUAAAGUGUCCAUGCCCUUGUGCUUACUUCUAAAGUUCCUUGUUCAUGUAACAAAGAAACAAGCACUAAUGUUUGCAUUUAACUAAGAGUUGUUCAAAGCAACUCUUAUUUCUUCAUACAACAAAUUGUAAUUGAAGAAUUAUGACAUUAAAAGGUUGUCCUCUUUAUGAUAGACUUUUUCUAACAUAUUCUUCUAAUGAUACAUUAUCAAUAGGAAGAUUGUGAGGAUGAGACUACUUAGGAACAUUUACAAGCCAUUAAAGACAAUCUAUGGUUUUGUAGUACCAAGUCCGGAAACUAAAGCUUUCGGCUAUUAUUUGUCAAGUGUUGGAUAGCGUUUGCAAAUAUAUUGGUAAAUAAAUACAUAACGAAUAUAAAUUGAUUGAUUUUAAGCCAUUUGAUUCGGGUCUUUAAAUCAAAUAGCACCACCCACUAUUUUUGGCAAAUUCCAUAUCCCUCAUUGGAAUUCGAGAGUUUUGGAUGAAACUCUUAGUAGGGUAUGGGAGACUCACCAUUACCAAGCCCACCUCAGAAGAAUAUCAUAUUGGCUAGCAACAAUAAUGAUGAGAGGAUAACGCUUUAGCCAUUUACAACUUUUGUAAUUACCCACCUAAUUUGGCCUCUAGAAAAUGAUGCCUCAGAAGAAUAUCAUAUUGGCACCAUUGUACUUAGUUAAGUCAUUCCCACCAUGCUAGUUCAAGUAGGGGUUCAAGAAUGACCUCAGAAGAAUAUCAUAUUGACCAUACUCGUUGCCUACCUUUCACUUCAUCAUAUGUUUAUAGGCUUCUCCUGAAUGUAAGCACAUACUUUGCAUACCCCAGAACUGGACGAAUACGGUGUAUGAGUCACAAACGAUUGAAGCCCACCAGGGUGGAAGGCCUACGAAGAGAUGUUCAAAGCAUCUCUCGCUUAUCAACUUAAUAAUGGUUUGGUUGAGGGUUUUAGGUCUCAUCAUAUAUAAACAUACAUUUUAAUCUUAUUAAAACAAUUUUGGUCCUAUUACAACUAUUGGUCCAUUUGAUUGUUUUAGUUGUAUAUAAUACUCCCACUAUACUUAUAAAACGGUUUUUAAAGCAAGAGUAUAUGAUACUACUAACAUAAACUUUGCAUUCAUUUGAUGGACUAUAUAGUUGCCUUAGGGCCUUAGGAUGACUAUGAACCUUUGUUUAGAUUCAACACGAGCCUAGUGUUGAAUCUCGGUCUAGGGAUGGUGAUUGAUUUUAGUUACGCGUUUAAUCACAUUAAGGCGUGUUGUCUUAGGGGCGUUGGACCCUCUACUCCAUUUUCAUGCAUAUCAAAUAAUACAAGAAAGGAGUACUUCAAAGUAAAGAUGAGCUUAUGCUCUUUACAACAUUUGAAUAAAACAAAUUACUUUAAAGUAAAGAAGAGUUUAUGCUCUUUUACAACAUUUGAUCAAAUCAAAUUACAACCAAAAUCUAAUCUACACAUUCACAUGGUUCAAACAAAUUUGAAACGGCCUUUCACAUAGCUCAAUUAUCGUAGGCUUAGGUUCAUAAUCACCCUUUAAUUAAUUAACACUUUAACUAAUUAAAUUGAUUGCAACAUUUUCAUUUGGUUUUUGUAUCCAUAGAAUUGAUUUAAAUAGAGCUAAAUGAAAUGAAAAUCCAAUUCUCAUUUAAAGAGACAAAACCAUUUUGUUCUCAACCUAAUUUGGGCCAAAAUGCAAUAACCUCAACUUUUUGGGCUAUGUUGCAAAACUUAAACUUUUGAGCUCAUUUUGUAAAAACACAAAAGUCCACUACUUCAUGUAAUUACAACUAGAACCCAAAAAUUUCAACAAAUUCAAAAACUUCAUUAAUGGAACAAAACAAUUUGUCCUUUAAUGAUUUUGGGCCUUUGCGUAAAUACGUAAACUUUUGGGUCAAACUACAAAUUACACAAAAGUACCAAAACUUUAUGUAAUUGCAUAAAAGCCCCAAAAACACCCCACUUGUAGGGUGGCCGGUUUUGGAGAGAUUGAAGCCACAAAAUUUUGAAAUUUUUUCAACAAAGUCAUAAAGCCAUGCAAGUGGAAAUAGGUUGGUGUGAAUAAAGCCAUGCAAGUGGUGUGUGUGUAAGAGAAGUACUUCUUACACACCCAUCACCAUUUCUAUCACCUUUCAAAAUUUCAAUAAAUGUUUUGUUGAUAGAUAAGUCACACCCACCAACACAAAACAAAGACUUUAUGAAAUUAACCACAACUUUGAAUCAAAACAUCAAACUUUUUGUUCUUGGCAAAAAUGUCAAGAACAAUGAAGAACACUCAUGAAAAACUCAAAAAAAUUCCAUGAACAUUUUUCACCCAAAAACAUCCCAAAACCAUUCAAACUUAAGGGAAAUAACAUAUAACCAAACUAGGGUACAUAGGGGUUCCAAAAGUCACUUGAAAACACUUUUAACAAGUCAAACAUGAACCCAAAAAUCCACCCUUUGGAUUUGGCCGAAUUUUCCCAAAAACAUGGCACCAAAUUUUAGCUCCAAUAUUCAUGCUCAUAUGAACUACAUGUACAACAUUUGAGAUGGCAAAUUUUCUACAAAAUUUACAUUCAAAGAAACAAGAAUAAAGCUUGUAACAUAUUACAACAUUUAAAUCAAAGACUAUGAACUAUAAAACCCAAAAGGAUUCACCAACUACUAGACCUAGGCUCUGAUACCACUUGAAGAAAAUUUUGUGAAAAACAUGUUCAUUUAAGUAACAUCUAUAGCAUGCAAUUAACAAUUAAAAGGCGGAAUCAUGCUUGUAUGCACUUAAAAACAAAACAUUAACCAUGAAAUUCAAAGCCUAGUAGAUUGGUGAACCAAGACUCAACUCAAAUCAAAGUGAGUUGAGAAAUUUAUACCUUUGUAGAUUCCUCUUUGCAUAAGCAAAGGCUAAUCACCCAAGGAGAGGGCCUUCAUUCCUCGCUUCUUAGAUCCAUGGAUUUGGAUGGAAGAAGAUGUUUCUCCAAGUUCUCAAAAUAGAGAACCUCUAAGUCUCCACACCAAGGUAAGAUGUGAAGAAGAGAUGAGUGACCUUGGAGGAGAAAGAUUACUAGCUAAUCCCUCCAAGGGGGCCGGCCUCUUAGAGAGAAAAGAGAGAGAUAUGUUCUCUCCAAUUCUCUAAAAGAAACCCUAAAUGAAUUUUGGCUAUAAAGUCAUAUUUAUACCUUAAUUCAUUGGAGUGGCAAAUUUGUAAAUAAGUCCAAAACUCACUCCUUUAACUAAAUGGCCGGCCAUAGGGUUUCAUUGUUUCUUCAAUCUCCACCUUACACGGUGUACGAUCCAUUAGGUUCCUUUUAGCGAGGCAGUGGGCGAUUAAAACCAUUUCAAAUCGAUUGUGAAUUGAAACUUACUUUCAAUUCUCCCUUUAGUGAUUAUACACGUUUAGGGCUUCCACAAACCAUGAGUGACACCUAGCAGCAUAUCAUGGUUACCCAAGCUAAUCAGAAGAGGUGGAGAACCUAUUCAGUUUAGGAUUACAAUGCAAUACGGUCUUUCUCUAAUACAAUACUCUUGACCACAUUGUUUGGAUUGAUAGUUUAUUCAUGUUUACUAACCAAUGUGAUACAUGUGCUUAUAUGAUUACCUUGAAUGAGAUUUGGAACGACUUCCUAAAUCUCAUUCAUACUCUGGCCAGAGAUUCUUAAUCAUAUCAUAGAGUAUUCUCCCCCAAACGGUUUGAAGGUUAGAGAUCCCUUGUUGCGCAUUCACUCGCCCUCCAUGGCUAAGUGGCUUAACCCCAACUAUGUCGUGGACACCCUCGAAUGGAGUGACUUUAACACAAUCAAAGAUCAAGGACUUAACCACAAGACAACUAUGAUGCCUUAGGUCAAAGGACUAUUUUGCAUUAUCCCAACCAUGAGUUCUCAUGUGACAUGAGUAUGAGAACUCCU
rnacentral:lncRNA from 1 species